rnacentral:lncRNA from 1 species
GCUAAGAGGACAGGCUGUUCCAUGAGAAGAUCUUGCCCAUGACAGGCUUGUGCAGAAUGAACAGAGAACAUUCAUUACGCAUAAAGACUUUCAGAAGUUCUACACUGCUUUAACUGCAGAGAGCGUCAAAGAAAAGAGUGUCCACAAUGGAAGAGAAAGAAGAAGAGGUGAAGUUAGGGGUGACCAAUGAAAAUUCCAUCUAAGUGACUUGGGGCAACACUAUCAUGUAUAGUGUUAAUAUACAUUAACACUCAAGGAAGAAUAAAUCUGAUUAUAAUAAUGCUUGCCAUUUAUGGAGAAUCUAUCAACUGAGUGUCUUGGAAUGCUUUGUGAAAUUUAAAUCAAUUCCCACAUCACCCC